GACGUAGGGCGCGAGCGUUGUCCGGAUUUAUUGGGCGUAAAGCGCUCGUAGGCGGCUUGUCGCGUCGGUUGUGAAAGCCCGGGGCUUAACUCCGGGUCUGCAGUCGAUACGGGCAGGCUAGAGUUCGGUAGGGGAGAUCGGAAUUCCUGGUGUAGCGGUGAAAUGCGCAGAUAUCAGGAGGAACACCGGUGGCGAAGGCGGAUCUCUGGGCCGAUACUGACGCUGAGGAGCGAAAGCGUGGGGAGCGAACAGG
rnacentral:rRNA from 1 species